GGCCGACUAGCUCAGUUGGUUAGAGCGUUGUGCUAAUAUCUGUGAGACAAGAAUAUUGACGUGAAGGUCUUGGGUUCGAUCCCCACGUUGGUCA